UGCGUAGGCGGCCUGUUAAGUCAGGGGUGAAAGCCCAUCGCUCAACGAUGGAACUGCCAUUGAUACUGUAGGACUUGAAUGCUUAGGAAGUAACUAGAAUAUGUAGUGUAGCGGUGAAAUGCUUAGAUAUUACAUGGAAUACCAAUUGCGAAGGCAGGUUACUACUAAGUGAUUGACGCUGAUGGACGAAAGCGUGGGGAGCGAACAGGAUUAGAUACCCCCGUA
rnacentral:rRNA from 1 species